AUCAUUUCCCCCGCACAGCCGACACGUAAACAAUUCAAACAAAAGUCAACGACAUAACCUAAACAAGAAAGAGAAUGCCUGGAUACCAUUUCUGAUGAAUUCAACUCAAAUGAAAAAGUCAACAAACUUCAGGUAGCAUUUCAAGACUGGUGGAAGACCCCCAGUAAGACCACAGACAGAUGAGCUGGGGGACUUUUAGCCGGGAUCAUUGAUAGCCAGCAACCCCUGGAAGAUAUCCCAGAUGAGGACCAUUUGGACAGUUCAGAUGGGGGACUGUUCCAAUCCUCAUUUGAGGCAGAUGAUCACCAUAGCUUGGAGGGGAGAAGACAGGACGAAGGUCAGGCCGCUACAUCUGCAGCAGACAGGAGAAGGAGAAGAUUGUGUCACUGACCCGAGCCAGAGGAUAAAGACAAAGAGGCUGAUCAUGCAUGACAAACUGGCCAUGGAAUUUCAGGAGCGGAAAUCCUUCAUGUUGAGUUGUCUAUGAAGGAGGAGGAGAAACAGGAAGCAGCAGCAGUACCAAUGUUCUUCUCAAACCAGCACCAGAUUGGUGUCCCGAUCUUUCCAUUUGUGAU